CGGUAAGACGUAGGAUGCAAGCGUUAUCCGGAAUUAUUGGGCGUAAAGAGUUCGUAGGCGGUUAAUUAAGUUGGAUGUUAAAGCUUUGAGCUCAACUCAAACACGGUAACCGAAAACUGAUUAACUAGAGACAGGUAGAGGCAAGUGGAAUUCUGCAUGUAGGGGUAAUAUCCGUAGAUAUGCAGAGGAACACCAAAAGCGAAGGCAGCUUGCUGGACCUGUUCUGACGCUCAAGAACGAAAGCGUGGGUAGCGAACGGGAUUAGAUACCCCGGUAGUCCACGCCCUAAACUAUGAACACUAGGUGUUGGAGGUCUCGACCCCUCCAGUGCCGACGCUAACGCAUUAAGUGUUCCGCCUGGGUAGUACGAACGCAAGUUUAAAACUCAAAGGAAUAGACGGGGACCCACACAAGCGGUGGAGCAUCUGGUUUAAUUCGACAAUAAGCGAGGAACCUUACCUGGACUUGACAUCCCGGGAAGAUCGCCGAAAGGUGAUUGUGCCGUUAGGAACCCGGUGACAGGUGCUGCAUGGUUGUCGUCAGCUCGUGCCUUGAGGUGUUCGGUUAAGUCCGUGAACGAGCGCAACCCUUGUCUUAAGUUGUAUUUUUCUUAAGAGACUGCCGGUUCUAAAUCGGAGGAAGGUAAGGAUGACGUCAAAUCAGCAUGGCCCUUAUGUCCAGGGCGACACAGGUGCUACAAUGGCCGGUACAAUGGGCUGCCAAGGAGCAAUCUGGAGCUAAUCCCCAAAACCGGUCCAAGUUCGGAUUGAGGUCUGCAACUCGACCUCAUGAAGCUGGAAUCGCUAGUAACCGCAGAUCAGCCAUGCUGCGGUGAAUAUGUUCCUGGG
rnacentral:rRNA from 1 species